CUGGACUCACGGAAAGUAUCAGUGAGGGUUUUGGAAUCAGGUCUCUGAAAGUAGGUUCCAACAACACCCAUUUAGAAGCUGUGUGACCUUGGAUGAGAAAAUGAAGACUCAGAGACGUGAAGCUACUUGGCAGAGAUCAAAUGGCUCAUAAAUGGUAACGCUGGCUUUAAGCCCAGGCCAGGGGGAAUGUUGCCUGUACUGGACCAGUGAGGACGCUGAAGCCCCCUGAGUUGAAUGAACUGGCUGAAGACGAGGCUCCCUGUUGUGGUGCUGGAAUUUGACUUGGUACCCACUCCCAGCCCUUGCUGUUCCCUCCAUGCUCCCUGCUCCCUGCAGAUGCACAAAUGAAGACCAAAGUCUUGAAAGAAGCUAGGGUCAAGCAUCAUUAAACCCAGGAGUCUUGUGCUGAUACAAGGCAGGGUCUCUCCGGAUGUUGAGGCAUCAUGGCUGUGUUGGGCGGAACCCCUGUUUGUCAGCAAAGGUUGUGGAAGCUCGUGCUCACUCCUAGGGGCCAUGGUGAUGCAGACAAGUGAGGUGCACUGUGUUUGCCUGAGCUGCUGCGGGCUGUGCUGGGCAGGCCACUCCUCCCUCCUGAGGUGACAUCCCACAUGACCAGCUUCACAAGGCAGCUUUCCUGAACAUGGGUGAGGGGGUUCCGUGGGGGUGGGGACGCUGCCAGGGACUUCUAGGAAGCAGACAGCGUUCAGGGCUCAGCACCACCAUCUCACUGCUGUGGAAGCAAGAAAAGGAGACUAUAAUUCAGCUCAGGGUGGCUAAUGGACAGCUUCCCAGAUAACAGACAGGAGGGGGAAGAUUAAUUCUGAAGCAGGAAUAGAUGUUAUUUGGGAAGGGAAGGGCAUUCAAGGCAGAGAUGAGGUGAAAAACAGCAUCGAUCAUCUACCAGCUACGAGUAGUUGAAUCUGACUGCAGUAGAAAAUAAAGGAAGCAGGGCCAGGGAGUUGGGGUGAGGGCGUGGAUGAAGCUGAGGAGCAGGCAGAGGCCAGAUUGUGGCAGUCCCUGUAAGCCGGGCUGAGAGUUUGAACUUGGUCCUUAAGGCAGGGAGGGGUAAGAAGAACUUUAAACAAGAAGUAGUGUGGCUAGAGGCGGGUUCUAGAAAGAUCACUCUGUGGGCAGGCGGGAGAUGUUCAUCCCUAUGCAGGCUCUGUGAGCCAGUCUUGGUCCUGUGAACCAGAGGUGUCCCUCUAAUGAAGUGCUAAUUGCAAACCAGUCAGUCACACUCUGGGAUGCUCUGGCCCCAACACCCAGAGUUCAGCUCUGUUCCUGUGAGUGCGGGCGUCUACCAGGAAGUGGAGCUGGCCUGUCUUCUCGGAAGCAGCAGCAAUUAAAAUGCAACCCUGAGACAUCAAGGAGUCAGCCAACUCUGUUUAUUUUUAUAUACUGAUAAAAUCCUCAGAAAGGGAAGCCAAGCUUUUCAGAGCAGCCUGCUCAUGCCCACCCAGCAUGCUGAGGAUCUGCAGGGAGCCCCUGCUCAGAAGGGCAGUCAGUGGCUGUGUCAGUGACCACCUCAGAGGGUAAAUAUGAGCUGGUCUGAGGAAGUGGGCACAUGGGUCUGAGGGAGUUCUGAACAUGACUGCAAAGCCCAGGGUCCCCAGAGCUGCAGCUGUAGCCAGAUUCAACUCAGCCAGCACAACACAGAGCACCUAGUGUGUGCAGAGAUCUUUUGACAGACUUGCUGCACAGUCGAGCAGCCAUCAGGGAGGGGAAGGGCCAUUCUACUGCACAUGCUGUUUGGAUGGAAAAAGCAGCUGAACUUCUCACUGUGGGUCAAGCUGGGCCUCUCUACAUGCAUUUUAUAAUAAAUUCGGCCCCUGGAAUUCCCACUGGAGGAACCGAAACUUCAGAUCCCAAUCCCCCCUUACCCAUUUCUUGUAGGAACAGAAAGUCUAAAUAGUUUAGGAUGCCCAGGCAUGGGAGGCAGCCUCUUAGUGGCCCCCAGGACCCCUGCCUUUUAGCAUUCAGCCCCGGAUCUGUACCACAGUUGGUUUGUGUGACUGAUUGCGUCCAGCAGAAGUGUGGCACUCCAAGGGUGGGGUAUAAAAGACAUUGGUGUCUUGGUCAUGCUUGCUGUCUUGGGCCAUUUGUUCUGGAGAAGCACACUGCCAGGUCAGAAGCAUGAUGGAGAGCCCACAUCAUGCAGAACAGGCGCCUUCUGCCAAUAGCCACCAAGUGAACUAGGAUGUAUGGUGCCCCAGCCCCAUUAAGAUUUGGAUGCCUGCAGCCUCAGACAACAUCUUGACUGCAACUUCAUGAGAGAGCCUGACCCAGAACCACCCAGUAAGACCCCUCCCAGAUUUCAGACUCUGACCUUAAACUUUUUCUGACCUUAAAACUGUUGUUCUAAGCUGCUAAGUUUUGGGGUAAUUUGUUACACAGCCAUGGGUGACUGAUACACCAUGGGAGACAUUUUACUAUCUAGAACAUGGGUUUACAGAGAUGGACAUGGGCCUGGAUCCACACCAACCUUGUGAUCUUGGGCAAGUUACUCCACCUCAGUGACUUAAUCUUCUCAUUCCAAAAAGGGGGUAGUAACAGUGGCAACCUCAUUUGUUGUCGUGAUGGUGAGGCCAGUGAAUGGUGCAUUAGUUCUGGUCCCAGCUCAUACUAAGUGUUCAAUAAACAGGACUGAGCAUCAACACCAUUUUUUCAGCCUUUCCUUCCAGCUAUAAUAAACUUCUUACAGAUCUGCAAACGUAUGACUCACACCUUUUCCUAGCUCUGGGCUUUGCUGCCUGCCCCUGUGCAGCUGCUUCUGCUGGAGAUCUUUCUCCCAUCUCUCCACCUGUCACCCUCACCCAUCUGGGUUGCUCAGGUGCCUGUUUGCUCUGGGAACAAGUUCCUGUAGACAGAGAUGAUCAUUCCUUCUGGGCUCCCACUGUGCAGUGAAGAUUGUCCUGGUGUUUCUUAAUUAUGUUUUAUUGCCAUUUUUCUGGGGUUCUUUGUGUCUUCAGGGGCAUGCAGAUAGUAGGCAUUCAGAAGAAGUGAGUUGCACCAAGGCUCUGCUGGAUUUAUACAAGAACAUCCUGCAAGGAGGAAGGCCAGCAAUGCUGCUGACCAGCCAUUCACUGGCAGCCUCUGGCAGCUGUAUAUAGUCAAAUCCUCAUUUGAGUUGUAUAUUUCUUUCACUCUUUUGUGUUUCCUUUUGCCACCACAGGCAGCUCUUACUAUUUUAUUUAGUUCCUCCUUGAAGCAUGUCUUUUGACUUUUAUUUUAUCCCUUUCAUAAUUUCAUCUUAUUUUUUAAAUAGAAAGUGUCUGUAUACUUGAGACUAUAAAUGUACACAUUAAUUAAAGGAGUUGACAUAACUUUAUUCCUUUAACUGUAUUUCCUUUAAUCUGGUCCUGGUUGAUCUCUUCACUCUGAAGUCCAUAAGCAUUGAUAAAGUGGAGACUCUUAUCCUGUACUUCCGCUCCAAUACAGAGAAUACUGGGCAAUGGGGCCACAUCACAUGGUUUUUUAACUUCAAGACAACUCUGCUUCUAAGAGGGGAAGGAAGCCCCAGCACCAACACGCAUAACCUCAAAUACACCCCAGUCUCUGUGUUCCACGAGGCAUCUAAUUCGUGUUCCAUAGCAAACAGGAAUGCCAGGAAUUACCCAACUUGGACUUUAGCCUAGGCACCACCUCUAACUCACUGGGGACACAAAACAUAUCACCCAGCCCUCAGGACCCUCAGCUUCUUGGUGGAUAUAAUAGGGACAAUGACACCCUCAGGGGAUUCAUUUGCCCGGUAAUUCUUGGGUACAGACUCUAAGCCACGCUCUUUGCUGGGUCCAGUGUCUGCCUAGGAAGAAGCUGUUCCCUGCUCUACAGGGGACACUCAGCCAAGAGAGGAGCAAGGUCAACAUUCAGAUCCUGGUGACUGCAUGGACUGAGAGAUACAGAGGGCAUGGGAGAACAGGGAAGAAGGGUGGCCAGGCAAGGCUGGGAGCACUCAGGGAAGGCUGCAGGAGGCGGCACCAGAGGUGAUGGAAGUCUUAAAGGUGAGGAAGGCAUGACGGAGGCAACCCAGGCAUGGGGCUGAGAAGCAGCAGUGCAGAUUCCUGUGUAGGUAGGCACCUGUGCACAUGGCACAGCUAGGGGAUGAGACAUCUGGCAGUUUGGCAUUCCAGGUACAGAAAGCAUGGAGCAGGAACAGGGAGGGUGGGUUGAAAGGGGAGCUGGAGAGCCUGGCAUAAGCCAGGACAUGGAGGAGAAAUACAACACGUCUGAAAGCGCUUUGUAAACUCUGAAGACCUUGCACAAAUGUGAGGGCCAUCCAUUGUUUCAGGACACUUAGCUUUCCAGCUGCCAUAGCCCAUCCUUACAAAAAACAUGCUGAAACCAGCGUCUUUUUUUUUUUUUCUUAAAUGAUCCUCCUUUCUACAGACUUGCAGAGUACAAUCAAGUAUGUGAGUGUUCACGUGUUGUCAUAUAAUCAAAUGAUUGGUGAUUUUCUUUUUAAUUUCCCUUUCUUUACCCAGUUGUGUUUCUACUGAUUUCUCAUUUCAGGAACAUAAACGCGGUGUCUCCGUGUUUUUAGGAAUAAAUUGGGAAGUGCUCACUUAAUUUCACCAUCCAAGAAACAAAAUCACUUCUCCCUCCAUGCAAUCCUGCAAUCCAAUCACCUGCGGCAGGAGAUGAGGAAGGAAAUUACUCUGCUUUUCUUUUGCUUUUUUCCUAACUAGUGAUAUUUGAGAAAAUUAAGUAUGUUUUAUUUUACACUCAGGACCCAGAUCCUCAGACAUACUUGGGGACUGAAACAGGAGAAUGCCAGUUGGUUACAGAAGCAAAUAUUUCAUUGCAUCCUUCCCCAGCCCCUAUGAAUGUCUUCAUAAAUGAAAUAAUAGAUUUUGUUUUGACACUACCUUAAAUAUUUCCACUGAGGCAAGACUCAGAGCAUUGUAAAUAGUCCCUGUUUAUCACACCUGUGGAAAUUUCACUUUUCUGGGUAGGACUGUGGAGCUGGUGUUCUGGGCUUAGGAUUCCAGUACCCUUGGCCUGGGCCCUGUCUUUGCCCAUGAUAUGACCUUGGGCAUGGACUCCCAGCUUGAAUGGGGGCAGCUGUAGAGUGAUAGAAAGGGCAUUGGGCAUGGAAGCAAAUAGAACAGAUUUGAACUAUAACUCUGCUGUUUACUAGCUAUGUGACUUCAGGCAAUUUACUUAAAUUUUCUGAGCUUUGGUUUUCUCAUUUUGUUAAAUGGGGAUAAUAGUGCCCAUCUUGCUGGACUAUGGUAGAAAGUUUAAAAAUGAAAUGGCAUAUAUAAGGUGCUGAGAUGGUGCCCAGUAUCUGGUGCUGCUAUGUACAGUUGGAUGGUUUCUGCACUGAACAAAGAUGCCAGCCAAGGGGCAUAUGGAGCUGAUACCCGGCCUUGCUUUUCUAACUUGCUGGUGUGCCAUACAGGACACUUAAAAAAAAACCAUCUGCCCAGGGGAGAAUAUUUGGAAGAACCAUCCUGCAGAGAUGGAGUCUCUUUGGAAUUCACAUGCAUGUGAAUUGCUGGGAGAGGAGACCCUGAGCACGAGGAGAUAAAUCUUCACUCCACUCCAUUGGAUUUGACUCCACCAUCCUCCUGCAAAAAGCCAUAUGGCCUCAGCUACAAAUCUGUUCAAAAGUAGAGAUGGCACCAUGUCCUGAAGCAGCACAUUCAUCUCCACAUGACUCUGUGAAAAGUAUUGUUUUAUGUUUGAGCUGAAAUCUUCCUUUAUUCAACUUCUCCUUGGUUAUCUAUGGACUCUUCGGGGCCCUCAUGAACAAGUGAGUCAGUAAAAACCAAGUGCUCAUUGGCUAAUUUGUUAAAUAGCAUAUUGCUUAGGUUAGGCUAGGUUGCUCUGCUGCAAGAAAAAAAGCUCUGUGACUUAGCACAGCAAAAAUAUGUAAUGUGAGUUCACUACAAGUAGCAGAGAGGGGCACUUAUGCAGGCCCCAAACCCACGAAGACUUCACUAUGUGGAACACUGUCAUCAUCGGUCCUGGCAGUGAGACAGAGAGAGGCUAGAGAAUCCAAUAUCUGCUUUUCCAUGCAGCAGAAGAACGGAUGCAUUUCACUCUGGUUGACAUGUCACUGGCCAGUCACAUGACCCUGCCUAUGUAUAAGAGGUCUGGGGAAUGUGGAGGAGCAAAUGGAUAGUCCAGUGAACAUCGCUAUCUCUGCAACUUUCAUAACAGUGGACUGAUUCAGUUAGGACCGUGAGCAGGGUGCUGGCCUUCAGUAUACUGGGUAGCUGUGGGCAAGCCCCUUUCCAUUGCCAGGGCUCAUUUUGCUCAUGGGGAAAAUGAAAAUAUGAAUUACCACGCUGACUACAGAUAUGGAAUGGGACUUGGGUGUUCCACAGGCCCUAGCUCUCUAACACUUGCCUCCGUGGGCUUGAGCCAUUUGAAAACACAGCUGGGAAAGACCCCAAAGCAUACAGGGGCAUGUGAGAAUGAGAAAUCUGUCCAAGAAGCCAGAGCCCCUUUUCAAAUGUUUGGCUCUAGAGCCCUCCAAAGCAAAUUAUGAGUAUGGAGAAAGAAGAGGGUCUUUCCGCUCCUAUUUCACCAGACCCUGUGAUGCCCACAGCGUGGUCCCACUUUUAAUAGUGCCUGGGGUGGGUGGAAGGGCCUGGUCCGUGGCCACAGAGAGAACUUUUGUCUCCAGGGGUGUCCAACCGGCCUCUAUCCUGAGGAUUACCGUAACUUUUUAAUUAAGGCAAAGUUUGCAGGGAGUUUGGCCUUUUGAUGUGGCAGCUGUAGCUGGAAAACAGGCCUGCACUGCAGACUUUACUGCCUGCCGAUGGCCCAGGAGCUGCCACCCACAUCUCAGAGCCCACACCCCAUAAACAGCCCAGAUCAUGUGUCUUUAGGGCAGGGUGCAUGACAGGGGUCGGGACCACCAUGAUGUGAGAAGACUGCUUUUGCUGAUAGUCUCACAGGGCCUGGACCACCCCAGGUCCCCCACAAAAUGGGGGUAGGGGUUUGAGAUAGCAGAAGAGUGAAUAAGGUGAUCUUCGAUACACAUGGCAAAGUUGUCAGUCUUGGCCUCGGCCUCAGUGUCCUACAACACCCAGGCAAGAAUGGAGUGGGGAGGGGCAUGGAGCCAGGAAGUUCCUGCAGCGUCUUCACACCAGAGUGCAUGUGUCUGCUUCCUCCGGACAGGGGGAAGGACAGGGACCUGCCUCACUCACCUUGGUAUCCCAGAGUCCUACAUAGAGUAGGCCAGCCCUUUAGAUGCUGACAGAACUGAAAACUGUCCCUCUGGGGACAGUUACAAAGUGCACUUUGAGCAUGUCGCUUUAUUUGUAUUCGAUAUCUAUUUAUUGAGCCUCUGCUAUGUACCAGGUAUGUGUCCCAGACACAGAGGAUUCAGCAGUAAAUAGCAACCCCUGCCCACAGACUGGCUAUUCUGGCUUAGGAUGUUUAUGACACCACUGAAGUUUAUGACAUUUAUGGCACCUACCAUGAUUCAUCCAAGUCACACAGAUAAUUUAGGGCAAAACUGAGAUAAGAACUUGAGCUUACUGAUUCCCAUGAGGGCAGCACUUUUCAAACUUUCUUACUGAAAAACCCCUAAAAGAGUGUCUGGGGGCAGGGCCCAAAGCAGUCAGAUGCAGGUGUGCCAUUACUUUGACAUUUCAACGCUUUACUCAAAAAAUUUAUACAAAUGUUGAAUUCCAUACUAUAUUAUAUCCAUAGUUGUUUAACUAUAAAUAGUGUAAGUUAAUAAAUAUAUCUG
rnacentral:lncRNA from 10 species